UGGAACCUACCCCGGAAUCAGACAUAACCCCGAGAAAUCGGGGGUAAUAUCUGAUAGUCUCCGAUGUUACAUCGGAGUAAAGGUUUUCCGUUCCGGGAUGGGCCUGCGGCCUAUCAGCUAGUUGGUGGGGUAAAAGCCUACCAAGGCAACGACGGGUAGCUGGUGUGAGAGCAUGACCAGCCAGAAGGGGACUGAGACACGGCCCCUAGCCCUACGGGGCGCAGCAGUGAGGAAUAUUGCGCAAUGGGGGAAACCCUGACACAGCGACACCGCGUGGAGGAUGAAGGCCUUCGGGUUGUAAAC
rnacentral:rRNA from 1 species